rnacentral:lncRNA from 1 species
ACAUAUUCAAAUGGUACUGAAAUUAAAUAGAUGAGAAAGAAAGUAAGAACUCUCUGUGGAGCAUAAAAACAAACAACGACUACCAUGAAUCUCAUGGUAUCUUCCAGACAUACUGAAUCUGAAUCCUUAAUAUUGAAGACCAGCGAAAGAAUACCAAAUUAAGAAUUAUCAUUCAGAAUUUAAAAUGCUUCAUGAACCACUUCAUUUUGAAAUUGGAGGUCAGCUGUAAAGAAACAAAUUUGAGCUUGAGGAUACUGAAAGUGAAUCUGGAAUCUACUAAG